rnacentral:rRNA from 1 species
UACGGAGGAUGCAAGCGUUAUCCGGAAUGAUUGGGCGUAAAGCGUCCGCAGGUGGCAAUGUAAGUCUGCUGUCAAGCGUCUGGCUCAACCAGAUACAGACAGUGGAAACUACAUAGCUAGAGUAAGGUAGGGUAGAGGGAAUUCCUGGUGUGAGCGGUGGAAAUGCGCAGAUAUCAGGAGGAACACCGGUGGCGAAGGCGGGUCUCUGGGCCGAUGACUGACGCUGAGGAGCGAAAGCGUGGGAGCGAACAGG